rnacentral:rRNA from 1 species
CGCGGCCUAUCAGCUUGUUGGUGAGGUAACGGCUCACCAAGGCAUCGACGGGUAGCUAGUCUGAGAGGACGGAUAGCCACACUGGGACUGAGACACGGCCCAGACUUCUACGGAAGGCAGCAGUGGGGAAUCUUGCACAAUGGGCGAAAGCCUGAUGCAGCGACGCCGCGUGGGGGAUGAAGGCCCUAGGGUCGUAAACCCCUUUCAGUGGGGACGAAACUGACGGUACCCACAGAAGAAGGUCCGGCCAACUACGUGCCAGCAGCCGCGGUAAGACGUAGGGACCGAGCGUUGUCCGGAUUUAUUGGGCGUAGAGAGCUUGUAGGCGGUUGCGUAAGUCGGAUGUGAAAACUCGAGGCUCAACCUCGAGAUGCCAUCCGAUACUGCGCUGACUUGAAUCCAGUAGGGGAGUGUGGAAUUUGUCGUGUAGCGGUGAAAUGCGCAGAUAUGACAAGGAACACCUAUGGCGAAGGCAGCGCUCUGGGCUGGUAUUGACGCUGAGGAGCGAAAGCAUGGGUAGCAAACAGGAUUAGAUACCCUGGUAGUCCAUGCCGUAAACGGUGGGCACUAGGUGUGGGGACUUUCAACGGUUUCCGUGCCGAAGCUAACGCAUUAAGUGCCCCGCCUGGGGAGUACGG